UCAGGCAGCUUCUGAAUAUCUCCAAGGAGGAGGCUUCACAGUCUCUGGGCAGUUUUGUGCCAGUGCUCUGGCAACCUAUGAAGCACUGAAGUGCUUUCUGGUGUUCAGAGGAAACUACUGUCUGCCACUGGGCACCAGAGAGAACAGCCUGGCUCUGUCCUCUUUGCACAUUCCCUCUAGGAGCAAUGGAUGAUGCACUGAUGGUGUUCCUCUGAGCCUUCUCUCCCAGCUGAGCAGCCCCAGUCCCUUCCUUCUCAUCGGGGAAGAGCUGCAGUCCCUUGAUCAAAGGCUCUGCCACCUCCACCUCCCUAGGACCGUUGCAGAGGAUUUGCCUGGAGCAUGGCACUUCUGGCCCAGGUCACAUGAGGAGCGUCUCCAAGCUGCAGGUACAGCUGACUGCGUGCAUUUGAAGAGCUUCAGGCAUCCUUCACAGAGCCCCAUGCCUUGCCUACCAGCACUCUGCAAGGAGGAUGGAUCAGAAACUUUGAGCUGAGUGCCUGUUCACAGAGAAUGAAGCAGACUUGCCAGCCAGCCCCUGGGUUACCUCCUUUCAUGGCAGAGAGGCACAAGAGGCAAACUCCACAGUUCCUGUGCAAGUGGGAUUUGCUCCAUCACAAAGGUAAUACUCUGUGUUUUAGUCCAACCCAAGGCAGAGAGCAUUUAAAGACCAAGGAGCUGUAAGGUCAUGUGAGAUUAAAAAGACAAGAUGUUGGUUUAUUUAUCAAGAAAAGGCCUAGCUUCAUCUUUUUAAUAAACAAAAACUACAUUCCUAAAACUACAAAAAAAAAGUUUAAAUGAAAUUGAGAAAAGUAGACUUUGCUACAGUAAGUAGGUAGGAAAGUGCUUUAUGGAUGGAAAAACUGCAACCAGAGAGAACAUCAGCAAUGUUCUCCCUUAAAUCAGAAAGCAAUCAAAAAGAACUGAUGAGCAUCCUGCUGGACACGGAGUAAUGUAAGUGCAGGGCAUGGCCCUGGGUGCCCCUGGACAGCAGCUGAGAGACUGGAGUUUGUCUGAAUUGUACAGUGUAGGAAAAAAAAAAAAGAGGUUUUUCAGUAUGUCAAAA